rnacentral:rRNA from 1 species
AGAAUCAACGCUGGCGGCGUGCCUAACACAUGCAAGUCGAACGAGAAAGUGGAGCAAUCCAUGAGUAAAGUGGCGCACGGGUGAGUAACACGUGACUAACCUACCCUUGAGUGGGGAAUAACCUAGGGAACCUGGGCUAAUACCGCAUAACACCUACGGGUCAAAGGAGCAAUUCGCUUAAGGAGGGGGUCGCGGCAGAUUAGCUAGUUGGCGGGGUAAUGGCCCACCAAGGCAGUGAUCAGUA